rnacentral:sRNA from 1 species
GCCGAGAUGGUCUAAAGCGCGCCAGAUUAAGGUUCCCUCCUAGAGGGCAUGGGUUCGAAUCCCACUCUCGACA